rnacentral:rRNA from 1 species
GACGAACGCUGGCGGCGUGCCUAAUACAUGCAAGUCGAGCGAAGUUUUUCUGGUGCUUGCACUAGAAAAACUUAGCGGCGAACGGGUGAGUAACACGUAAAGAACCUGCCUCAUAGACUGGGACAACUAUUGGAAACGAUAGCUAAUACCGGAUAACAGUAUUUCUCGCAUGAGAGAUAUUUAAAAGUUGGUUAUGCUAACACUAUGAGAUGGCUUUGCGGUGCAUUAGCUAGUUGGUGGGGUAAAGGCCCACCAAGGCGACGAUGCAUAGCCGACCUGAGAGGAUGAUCGGCCACACUGGGACUGAGACACGGCCCAGACUCCUACGGGAGGCAGCAGUAGGGAAUCUUCCGCAAAGGGCGAAAGCCUGACGGAGCAACGCCGCGUGAGUGAAGAAGGAUUUCGGUUCGUAAAGCUCUGUUGUUAGGGAAGAAUGGAUAUGUAGUAACUAUACAUGUAAGAGACGGUACCUAACCAGAAAGCCACGGCUAACUACGUG